rnacentral:misc_RNA from 1 species
AAGUCGUAACAAGGUUUCCGUAGGUGAACCUGCGGAAGGAUCAUUAUUGGAUAAACCUGAUGUAGUUGUAGCUGGCUCCUAGGAGCAUGUGCACGCUCGUCACUUUUAUCUUUCCACCUGUGCACCCAUUGUAGGCCUGGAUAACCCUCGCUUGGUUUCAAGCGGACGCGAGAAUUGCUGCUGCUCUUUCUGCAAGGAAAGGCCGGCUUUUUUCGAAUUUCCAGGUCUAUGUUUUCUUACAUACCCCAAUUGAAUGUUACCGAAUGUUAUCAAUGGGCAUAUGCCUAUAAAACACAAUACAACUUUCAGCAACGGAUCUCUUGGCUCUC